UACGGAGGGUGCAAGCGUUAUUCGGAAUUAUUGGGCGUAAAGGGCGCGUAGGCGGCCAGGCAAGUGGAAGGUGAAAUCCCUCGGCUCAACCGAGGAUCUGCCUUCCAAACUGCUUAGCUUGAGUCCGGGAGAGGUGAGUGGAAUUCCCAGUGUAGCGGUGAAAUGCGUAGAUAUUGGGAGGAACACCAGUGGCGAAGGCGGCUCACUGGCCCGAUACUGACGCUGAGGUGCGAAAGCGUGGGGAGCAAACAGG
rnacentral:rRNA from 1 species